rnacentral:rRNA from 1 species
UGCGUAGGCGGAUUAAUAAGUCAGUGGUGAAAUCUCUCGGCUCAACCGGGAAACUGCCAUUGAUACUGUUAGUCUUGAGUUCGGUUGAGGUAGGCGGAAUGUGUAAUGUAGCGGUGAAAUGCUUAGAUAUUACACAGAACACCAAUUGCGUAGGCAGCUUACUAGACCGACACUGACGCUGAGGCACGAAAGCGUGGGUAGCGAACAGGAUUAGAUACCCUGGUAGUCC